rnacentral:rRNA from 1 species
AACGAACGCUGGCGGCAGGCUUAACACAUGCAAGUCGAACGCCCCGCAAGGGGAGUGGCAGACGGGUGAGUAACGCGUGGGAAUCUACCCAUCUCUGCGGAAUAGCUCCGGGAAACUGGAAUUAAUACCGCAUACGCCCUACGGGGGAAAGAUUUAUCGGGGAUGGAUGAGCCCGCGUUGGAUUAGCUAGUUGGUGGGGUAAAGGCCUACCAAGGCGACGAUCCAUAGCUGGUCUGAGAGGAUGAUCAGCCACAUUGGGACUGAGACACGGCCCAAACUCCUACGGGAGGCAGCAGUGGGGAAUAUUGGACAAUGGGCGCAAGCCUGAUCCAGCCAUGCCGCGUGAGUGAUGAAGGCCUUAGGGUUGUAAAGCUCUUUCACCGAUGAAGAUAAUGACGGUAGUCGGAGAAGAAGCCCCGGCUAACUUCGUGCCAGCCGCCGCCGUAA